GACGAACGCUGGCGGCGUGCUUAACACAUGCAAGUCGAACGGAAAGGCCCUGCUUUUGUGGGGUGCUCGAGUGGCGAACGGGUGAGUAACACGUGAGUAACCUUCCCUUGACUUUUGGAUAACUUCAGGAAACUGGGGCUAAUACCGGAUAUGAGCUCCUGCUGCAUGGUGGGGGUUGGAAAGUUUCGGCGGUUGGGGAUGGACUCGCGGCUUAUCAGCUUGUUGGUGGGUUAGUGGCUUACCAAGGCUUUGACGGGUAGCCGGCCUGAGAGGGUGACCGGCAACAUUGGGACUGAGAUACGGCCCAGACUCCUACGGGAGGCAGCAGUGGGGAAUAUUGAACAAUGGGCGGAAGCCUGAUGAAGCAACGCCACGUGCGGGAUGACGGCCUUCGGGUUGUAAACCGCUUUAGCAUGUGACGAAGCGUGAGUGACGGUAAUGGGUAAAGAAGCACCGGCUAACUACGUG
rnacentral:rRNA from 1 species